rnacentral:rRNA from 1 species
AGUACGCUGGCGGUAGGCCUAACACAUGCAAGUCGAACGGCAGCACAGUAAGAGCUUGCUCUUACGGGUGGCGAGUGGCGGACGGGUGAGGAAUACAUCGGAAUCUACUUUUUCGUGGGGGAUAACGUAGGGAAACUUACGCUAAUACCGCAUACGACCUACGGGUGAAAGCAGGGGAUCUUCGGACCUUGCGCGAUUGAAUGAGCCGAUGUCGGAUUAGCUAGUUGGCGGGGUAAAGGCCCACCAAGGCGACGAUCCGUAGCUGGUCUGAGAGGAUGAUCAGCCACACUGGAACUGAGACACGGUCCAGACUCCUACGGGAGGCAGCAGUGGGGAAUAUUGGACAAUGGGCGCAAGCCUGAUCCAGCCAUACCGCGUGGGUGAAGAAGGCCUUCGGGUUGUAAAGCCCUUUUGUUGGGAAAGAAAAGCAGCAGGUUAAUACCCCGCUGUUCUGACGGUACCCAAAGAAUAAGCACCGGCUAACUUCGUG